ensembl:lincRNA Gm14696 predicted gene 14696
UUCAGUGAGUAAAGAAGGUUGCUUUAAGCCCAGCAAUCUUGAGUAAAAUCCACAGGACACACAUGGAAGAAUGAUAGAACUGAUUCCCACAAGUUGUCCUUUAAUCUCCACAUGCAAUCUAAUAAACGUGUACACAUACAUGUGUGCACAUGUUUACACACACAACAAACAAAUGAUUGUAAGAAAAAAGUGCAUUUAUAUUUUAUGAAAUAUACAUGAAAUUUCUAGGUGAUUUUUGCAAAUUUUAAAACUAUAAUAAAUUCGGUGAAAAACUGCCAACUACUCAAAGCCUGAUAAAAUUGCUUAAAGGCAAGAUAUCAAGUAAAGCAAUAUUUAUUAAAUGAAUCUACUUAAUCUGGGCAAGAACAAAAGAAAUCUAUGCAACUGAGCCAUGAGUUUCUUCUUUCCUUAUCUAGCUGAAUCUGACUGAAUGCAUGCUUCUUACAUAAACACAAUAAUAAAAAUAAAAAUUAAAAAAGAAACUUCCCUCUGGGUGGGCUUGGCAGAGAACACAGGCUAUUUCCCAUAGCCACCAGCCAAGAGAGAUCACUAAGAGAGAUGAGCUAUCAGCCACUAUUGCCCUCCACCUCACAAGCUCCUGGCAACCAAAAUUGUGGUCAAGAAGGAUGGUGGAAUGUGUCUUCUUUACAUCAGAUUUCAUCAUAUAGAAGAGACUCUACACCCAAGGAUGGCUGAGUAUUACUGGUCCACCAGAUGCCCUUAACCCAGCUCGCCCAUAGGCAGAGCUCCAGUCCUAGGAAACCCAAGCUGAGAAGACCACAGGCUACCACCCUUUCCUAUGAUCCCAGUCACAAAGCCAUGAGCAAAAUCCCAAGAAAAAUGGGACAAUGUCUCAACACCCAACUAUAGAGAGUGACUCGGAUAUUUUUCCGCUUCAGCAACAGGGGUAGACCUUUAAACAGGGGUCUCCAAAGCUCUUCCUAAAGAAGGUGGCUUUAUCUGAAAAGACUGCAGUAACUCUCUGUAACAAGGUAUAUUUGGUAGUAAACAAUUAAGAAGCUGCUGAGAAGUCUUUUAAUUAAGAGCCACAGUCUAAACCACAAAUAAAGGACUUUACUGAGAAGAGUCAAGGAAAGAGACAGCGGUGAAGAGCUCUCCUGAGAUCUGAACAAACCUCAAAUACUACAAGUUGGAAGGGUACCAAAUUUAAUUGGAGCUGACUGUUGAACAAUUGGUACCCCAGGACAUGUUCAAAAAUAAUAAAGCAAGCCCUGCCCAGCAAGUGGCAAAGCCUAACAUCUGGGUGUGAUUGGCACAAACGCACAGUUCAGUUUAACUGAAAGAUCAGGAACAGAAAAAGUCACAGAGAGCUCUGAGUGAUGGUGCUUAUGCUGGAGGCUGUGAUCUCUCCAUAUCAGUGUGAAGACUUCACACUGAGGCGAACUCUGCCUCGACAUAAUAGUUUAAUUAAACCACAAAACAAGAAUGUAACAGCAAAAGUAAGCCUUGGAAAUGGGAGGUGGAAAUCAAUAUCUAGUUGAUACAACAUAUUACCUUACAUGCCCAAUUUUCAACAGAAAGAAUUAGGAGACAAGGGAAGAAACAGAAAAGAGAGGGCAAUGUGCAGAAGACAAGGCAAGCACCCAGAAACAAUAAGCAUGCUCCAGCAUUGACUAAGCCCAAGACUUCAAAGCUGCCAUUAGAAAUAGAUUCAAAGAAGUAAAAGAAACAAUGUGCAAAGAAGUGAAAGAAAUGGAGCAGCCUUCCCAAAUCUUUUUUUUUUAAAGCAAUGAGAAAAUUAGCAACAUUUGCCCUAAUCAAUAUUCCCCUAAGGAGGAAGAAGCUAAGGGUUUACAACAAGCUUAGGUGAAUUUAUCCACACAAAAUGGUGGAAGAUCUCAAUGAGGAUAUUCAUGAUAUUUGGGGUAUUGUGUCUAGCCCAAGUUCAAUCUCAUACCCUCCAGCUCCAAAGUAGUUCUGAAAGUUCAUCAUCUAUGUUCACAGUGACAACGAAAACCCUGGGAGGCAGCACGGAGCAGAAAGAGGCUGGACCUCCUUGGUCGAUGCCUUUCACAUCAGUGCCCUUGCUUAACCAGUCUGGAGAGGCCUUGGAACAGAGUCCCUUUGAAAAGAUCCAGAUAAGUUGACCAAAAUUCUGCAGUAUCAUGCCCCCGCUCAUAUGUGUCUGGAGGAGUUGAAGCAAGAACAAAGCUGCUGGACUUGCAGUCCUUACAGAGUUGAUGGUGGGAGGAUGGAAAAAUGGAGUAUGGCGUUCAUUAGUGGAAUUCUGAGUUUGACAUAAGCAUAUGCUAUGAUCUUCAAAUCAGAAGAUUAUUCAGAUGAAGCUAAAAAAUCCUAUGAGCACCUUUGGAGGCAAGCUAGCAGGAGAAUUAGAAGCUUAAAGAUCUCCAUAGUACACCCUUCUUCCUUUCAGCAAGUCUCUAAUCUGUUCUUCUCCCUUGAACUUGACAGUUUCCCACAAGUAGGAGUUUCAUGAAGCUUCCUCCUGUGCUCCCAAGAGCAUUAUAAUUAAAUUCUCAUUUUGAGAUAAAUGUACUUUCAUAUGCCUGGGCAAUGAGUAAUGAUGACGAAUUCUGUGUACCCUUGCCCCAGAUUCCCCCACUGGUAUUGUGUUGAAGAAAUAUUAAAAGCAGAAUAAUUAGGAUAUUGACAUGGACAGACAAGAUAUACAACAUUUGCAUCAUCCUGAUGAUUGGCUGUGAUAUACUUUUAUAUUCAUCAUCACUUCUCCCCCACUACUUCUUUAAUCUUUCCCAGUUACACACACACACACACACACACACACACACAUAUACACACACAUACAUAUACAUAUAAUAUAUAUAUACACAUACAUACACACAAGCACCCUAUAUGUGUAUAUAUGUGUGUGUAUUAUGUAUGUAUGUAUCCCUAAAUAUAUAAAUACACCUUUAAAAGUCCAUAUAAUGUUACUGGUGUGUAUAUAAUCUCAGGAAUGACCAGGUAGCAUUGAAAAUGGGGCCUUUUGUGAUACUUUUACAUGGAAGCAUGUAAUGCUCUGUUGUAUUCUGGACAUGAAAGAGAAGUGACUUUCUAGAAGAAUAUGUGAAUUUGUACUAGAAAUGUAUGAAAUUAUACUAGUAAUGUAUGAAAGACUCAGAUUCCAAGUAUUCACAACAUCAUGAGACAUUUUAUCUGUUUCAUUCGGUUUUGAUAAAAGAGUCUGUAAGAGUUACUCUCAUCUAUCUGUGACCAAAUCCCUGACAAGAUGCACCUUAGCAGAGGAUGAACAUUGUUUUUCUUAUAGUUAAAGCCAAUACAAUCCAUCAUGUCCAGGAUUCCUGUAGGAACCAGAGGUGGUAGACAACAUCAAGGAAACUGCUUCUUCAACACACAAGGCUAAUACACACAUAAAUUUACAAAGACUAUGACAACAUGAACAAGACCUGUGCAGAAUCGAGCCAGGCAAUGGGAGGAGUGGAUAUGGACACAUCCCACUCCUAGCCGAGAAGCUAUUUGCAAUGGAAUCUAUACGAGAGGGAAAAUCAGUUUCCUUCAUUGAAGUGACUCUGGGUAUAUAAGCAACAAUUGAGACCAUGACCUAUGCAUGGCAAACACAAAUCAGACUGCAUGGCUUUGUUUUAUUGGUUUUUGGUUUUUGGUGUUUUUUUUUUUUUUUUGCUUGUUUGUGCUUCUUUUUAUUGUUGUUGUGCUUUGGUUUAUUUAAAGAUCACACAAGAACAUGAAGUUACAUGUGUACAGAGGUGGGGAGGACCUGUGAGAAGCUGAAGGCAGGGAAACACUAUUACCAAAAUAUAUUGUACCACGUUUUCAAAAAUAAAUAUAAGCAUUAAAAAAGUUCCAAUUCAGAGAAAUUACCAUAGCAAGUGUCACCAUGGAAGUGAAACAGCUGGAACUUUAAUAUGUUGUUGGUGUGAGCAAAGGUUAUUUCUUCCACUUCAGGAAAUCAUUUGGUAAAUUGCUCUAAAAUAAGCCUAUACCAUAAUGUAGUAAUUCCACUUCUAAGAGAUUUUCAA